GAUGAACGCUGGCGGCGUGCUUAACACAUGCAAGUCGAACGGAAAGGCCCGGCUUUUGUUGGUUGCUCGAUUGGCGCACGGGUGUGUAACACGUGAGUAACCUGCCCUUGACUUUGGGAUAACUCUUGGGAACUGGGGCUCAUACCGGGUAUAAUCUCCUGCUCCAUGGUGUGGGUUGGAAAGUUUCGGCGGUUGGGUCUGGACUCGCGGUUUCCCCGCUUGUUUGUGGGGUAGUGGCUUACAAAGGCUUUGACGGGUAGCCGGCCUGAGAGGGUGACCGGCCACAUGGGGACUGAGAUACGGCCCAGAAUCCUACGGGAGGCAGCAGUGGGGAAUAUGGCACAAUGGGCGGAAGCCUGAGGCAGAAACGCCGCGUGCGGGAUGACGGCCUUCGGGUUGUAAACCGCUUUCGCAUGUGACGAAGCGUGAGUGACGGUAAUGGGUAAAGAAGCACCGGCUAACUACGUG
rnacentral:rRNA from 1 species